rnacentral:rRNA from 1 species
CAGCAGCCGCGAGAAUACGAAGGGUGCAAGCGUUAAUCGGAAUUACUGGGCGUAAAGCGUGCGUAGGCGGUUUGUUAAGUCUGUUGUGAAAUCCCCGGGCUCAACCUGGGAAUGGCAAUGGAUACUGGCAAGCUAGAGUGUGUCAGAGGAUGGUGGAAUUCCCGGUGUAGCGGUGAAAUGCGUAGAGAUCGGGAGGAACAUCAGUGGCGAAGGCGGCCAUCUGGGACAACACUGACGCUGAGGCACGAAAGCGUGGGGAGCAAACAGGAUUAGAUACCCGGGUAGUCCCUGUCUCUUAUAC